CUGGGUUUAGAACGUCGUGAGACAGUUCGGUCCCUAUCUGCCGUGGGCGCUGGAGAACUGAGGGGGGCUGCUCCUAGUACGAGAGGACCGGAGUGGACGCAUCACUGGUGUUCGGGUUGUCAUGCCAAUGGCACUGCCCGGUAGCUAAAUGCGGAAGAGAUAAGUGCUGAAAGCAUCUAAGCACGAAACUUGCCCCGAGAUGAGUUCUCCCUGAGACUUAGAGUCUCCUGAAGGAACGUUGAAGACGACGACGUUGAUAGGCCGGGUGUGUAAGCGCAGCGAUGCGUUGAGCUAACCGGUACUAAUGAACCGUGAGGCUUAACCUUACAACGCCGAAG
rnacentral:rRNA from 2 species